GCUUCCCUAAGACCAGACAGGAGGAGGAAAAACAACAGCCCUACGUGAUUUAACAAGCAAACAAUAAUGCGCUUUGCUUCAGGGAGCAAAUAGCCAAAGACAGUGGUUCAAGCCCACAUGCUAAUGCACACUGAGGGUUGCACGGCGGGCACUGUUCCAGGCAUCAGAAAUGUAACACCAAGCAAGUCAGCCAGGAUCCUGCCCUCUGUUCACACACAGUCUCUCAGGAAACCUUGGGAACUCCAGCGAAUCCCUGUAAAGAGUUUGGAGUAGUGCCCGGUACACAAUGCCGAAACUGAUGCACAGAGGCAAAACAGCUGGAAUUCAAGGUCAGUCUGUCUUGACUCCAG